UGAACGCUGGCGGCAGGCCUAACACAUGCAAGUCGAGCGGAUGAAAGGAGCUUGCUCCUGGAUUCAGCGGCGGACGGGUGAGUAAUGCCUAGGAAUCUGCCUGGUAGUGGGGGACAACGUUUCGAAAGGUCUGCUAAUACCCGAUGCCGUCACAUGGUCGCAUGGCCGAGUGACGAAAUGGAUUCCGCUUCAGGAGGGCGUCGCGACCUAUCAGCUUGUUGGUGAGGUAACGGCUCACCAAGGCUACGACGGGUAGCUGGUCUGAGAGGAUGAUCAGCCACACUGGGACUGAGACACGGCCCAGACUCCUACGGGAGGCAGCAGUGGGGAAUCUUGCGCAAUGGACGAAAGUCUGACGCAGCAACGCCGCGUGGAGGACGAAGGCUCUCGGGUUGUAAACUCCUUUCAGUAGGAACGAUAGUGACGGUACCUACAGAAGAAGCCCCGGCUAACUACGUGCCAGCAGCCGCG
rnacentral:rRNA from 1 species